AGGACGAACGCUGGCGGCGUGCUUAACACAUGCAAGUCGAGCGGAAAGGCCCUUCGGGGUACUCGAGCGGCGAACAGGUGAGUAACACGUGAGCAACCUGCCCCUGGCUCUGGGAUAGCCUCCGGAAACGGGGAUUAAUACCGGACAUGACCUGCUGCCGCAUGGUGGCGGGUGGAAAGUUUUUCGGCUAGGGAUGGACUCGCGGCCUAUCAGCUAGUUGGUGGGGUAAUGGCCUACCAAGGCGACGACGGGUAGCCGGCCUGAGAGGGCGACCGGCCACACUGGGACUGAGACACGGCCCAGACUCCUACGGGAGGCAGCAGUGGGGAAUCUUGCGCAAUGGGCGAAAGCCUGACGCAGCGACGCCGCGUGGGGAUGAAGGCCUUCGGUUGUAACCCCUUUCAGCAGGACGAAGCGAAAGUGACGGUACCUGCAGAAGAAGCGCCGGCUAACUACGCGCCAGCAGCCGC
rnacentral:rRNA from 1 species